UACAGAGGGGGCAAGCGUUGUUCGGAAUUACUGGGCGUAAAGGGCGCGUAGGCGGCCUGCUAAGUCGAACGUGAAAUCCCCGAGCUCAACUCGGGAACUGCGUCCGAUACUGGCAGGCUUGAAUCCGGGAGAGGGAUGCGGAAUUCCAGGUGUAGCGGUGAAAUGCGUAGAUAUCGAGAGGAACACCUGCGGCGAAGGCGGGUUGCUGGGCUGACACUGACGCUGACAGCGCGAAAGCUAGGGGAGCGAACGGG
rnacentral:rRNA from 1 species